GCCUCUAUGACAGACUCAGCCGCCACCUUUCCUUUUCUAUCGGCAAGAGAACAGUUACUCCUCCUCAAACUAUUACUCUCAUCUUCUCUCAGAAGAGAAGAGUAGCCGCAGCUUCCACCGAUAGGGUUCCAACCAGGCGAAUACUCAGGUCCGUUCCCGAUCCCUCCUCUCUUAGCCCUCCUGAUCCCUACGCAAAGAUCUCCACUCUCAGCUCUCAUGAAAACGAUAGAGUCUCCCGCCACAAGCUUCUUCUGGUUCACGAAGUUACUCCACCCUGUAGUGAGGAGAUGCCGACGCGGCGUCCCUCUGUAGAUAUGUCUGAACUUCCAUACAUCUCCGUGAACAUCUUUGGCGAGAAUGGUCUGAACAGGCGGCUCAGCGUUGUAGUCUAGCCUCGGGAAGAUCGUUUCCGCGCAGUAGCGCGGGACUGAGAAUCCCCCACCGUUGUUAGCAUCGGACUGAGUCAGAGUCUUGGCAAAGGAAGGAGUCUUCUCGCUGUUAGUCUCGAAACCAUUACCUUCUUGACCAUCUCCGUAGUCGUGAUCGUCGUCUUUUAAAGGGAUCAGUCUCAGUUUGGCGAAAACCUCGUCGGAUUCAGGAUCAGCCAUGUACUUGAUGGCCAAGACACGGCAUAAAACCAUAGGAGGGAUAGGGAGGUUCUUGAAAUCUACGUGGUCGUAAGCGUUUUCCGCGUGUCCUUGAGGGAAGUAGAAGACUUUGGAGUUCAUAGGUGGCAUACGGACCAUGCCGCCAGCACAUGCAUGCCAUAGCUGUGGAUCUAAACCUUUCUCUGAUCCGCUUUUCAUCGGAUCCAUUACAUUUAUCAUUUCUAACAAAUGUAAUAAUCCCUACAAAUGAAAAUGAAAUAAAAGGAUUAUUAGUUUUUGUUUUGAACAGAGUAGAUAAGACAGAACACAAAAGCAUAUGCUUUUUUUUUUUUGUUUAAAGUACUUUUAACAUGUUAAAAAGCUUUUAGUCUUUUGAAUCAGUCAACUCUCUUAUACCUAACAACCGAGAUUUUCCCGGAAAAAAAAAGUUUCCUGAAAAUCCGACAAAAGGGUUAUGUCUAGAUAGAUUCGGUGAGAGAUUGAAUAUGAUUAUCAAGAAAACUUCAGAUAAUUCAAUAAGAGAUUAAUAACAGUUCAAGUUUAAAAGCCAGCUCAAGGUUGUGUUGCGAGGAAGAUAAAGCAGAAGGUCACAGAUCGGUCAUGUUGAGGAAAACUGAAACAGUAAAACUUCUUCAAAAGUAGAGAGAAGAACAUAGAACAGAUCAAGAUUAAGCUAAUCAAAUUAAAACAUCACACGGAACUGAUUAAAUAUUUAUUAAUAAAGAUGAAAUUCAUACAAGGAUUCGAUCAAACAGAGAAGAUUUAAGACAGAAGUGAAAGACUUUUGUUCAAACCUUGAACAGUAGUAGUAGAUCUGAGACAAGUUCUUGAAGAUUCUGUUCUAAAAAAACCCUUCUCUUGGUUUCUUGAGAAUCUGAAGAUUCUGCAGCUAAGUUUCUGCUUCAGAAUCGGAUAAGAGUUCACUUUUGUUGUACAGAGGGAAAUGAAAAGGGUUCGUGUAUAUGAAGGAGAAAGGUUUGGCUUUCUGGAAAAUAAAAUAAAUAUAUAUAAAAGCCAUUUAUUUUUUCAACUUUCAUUAACUCAUUCACAUGUUAUGAUUUUAAUCAGAUUAAAAAUAAAAAAAAUGUAAUGUUUUAAAUCAUUUAAAUUACGCCCCAAAAAUGGUAACAAUUUGGUAAGUCAAACCCUUGAUUCCGGGCAUAAAAAUCGACAAUACGGAGUGUAAAAAAAAUAUUAUAAAAUUUGAUAUAUAACCUACGUUGCACGGAAGCUUCAUCGGACGUCCGUUUCCCGCUUCGGAACCGGAAUCGGAAUCGGAACCUUGUGGAAGCUCGCGGAAUCUCGCUUCCAAAACGUUUCUAAAAUAUUCUCUUUAAAAACUUGUUGGAAGCUUACGAUUCCGUUUUGGAAUCACGCUUCCGUUUUAAAAAAAAAUGUAAUGUAUAUCAAUAAAAUAUAAAACCAUAGUUUUAAUCUAUAUAAAAUAAAAAAAUUAAUAGAAAUGAAUAUUGAAUUAUACAUAUACAAAUAUUAAAAAUAAUACUAUAAAUCAUCUUUAUGCAUUGAGAUUUUUUUAUUAAAGAUAUAGCACAAAUUGAAAUAUAUUGUGUCAACCAGGCGAAUACUCAGGUCCGUUCCCGAUCCCUCCUCUCUUAGCCCUCCUGAUCCCUACGCAAAGAUCUCCACUCUCAGCUCUCAUGAAAACGAUAGAGUCUCCCGCCACAAGCUUCUUCUGGUUCACGAAGUUACUCCACCCUGUAGUGAGGAGAUGCCG
rnacentral:lncRNA from 1 species